rnacentral:snoRNA from 1 species
AAUCCGUGAUAUGGGCAGCAUCUCAAAAGAUCUUUAAACCUCUCCCAUGCUUUCAUCAUCAAACUGCAUAAAAGAAGAUAUGUCAUUUCUAAGUUU